AGUGAACGCUGGCGGUAGGCCUAACACAUGCAAGUCGAACGGCAGCACAGUAAGAGCUUGCUCUUACGGGUGGCGAGUGGCGGACGGGUGAGGAAUACAUCGGAAUCUACUUUUUCGUGGGGGAUAACGUAGGGAAACUUACGCUAAUACCGCAUACGACCUACGGGUGAAAGCAGGGGAUCUUCGGACCUUGCGCGAUUGAAUGAGCCGAUGUCGGAUUAGCUAGUUGGCGGGGUAAAGGCCCACCAAGGCGACGAUCGGUAGCUGGUCUGAGAGGAUGAUCAGCCACACUGGAACUUGGACACGGUCCAGGCUCCUACGGGAGGCAGCAGUGGGGAAUAUUGGACAAUGGGCGCAAGCCUGAUCCAGCCAUACCGCGUGGGUGAAGAAGGCCUUCGGGUUGUAAAGCCCUUUUGUUGGGAAAGAAAAGCAGCAGGUUAAUACCCCGCUGUUCUGACGGUACCCAAAGAAUAAGCACCGGCUAACUUCGUG
rnacentral:rRNA from 1 species